rnacentral:lncRNA from 1 species
UGGACGACCGACGUGCCCGGAUGCCCCGCAACCCCAGCCGCCUCAGUCCUUCCCGGGAGGCCUCUGAGCUCGCGCUCUCGCGAGACCCCUGAGCGGUGGUCUCCUCCUUUGGCCAGGAGGUUCCCACCUAGCAGAGCCCCGCACAGAACCACAGCAAAAGCGCUGAGGCGACUAGUUCGCCUCACAAUGCAGCCCGCUUUCUUCGGAGCGACGGACACUCUCGCAGUAAGAGCCCCAGGGGAAGAUGGUGCACUGCUGCUCUUCUGGAGAAGCUUACUGCACUGGCUUCCCUGAUGGGAACUUGGCCAUCUUGAUCAUGGGAGGAGCUUGGGACCUCACUGUUGCUGAGGAUGACUGUAGUACCUUUUGGUAAGAGCUCUGGUUCUUCUGAGCAUCGCUUCCUCAUUCCAGUGCAGAUCCCUCAGCCUGCUUGCACAGAUCCUUCAUCGUGCUGGCACAGACUUUCUAGAUUUCAC